rnacentral:rRNA from 1 species
AUUGAACGCUGGCGGCAGGCCUAACACAUGCAAGUCGAGCGGGGUUUUCGGACCUAGCGGCGGACGGGUGAGUAAUGCGUAGGAAGCUGCCCGAUAGAGGGGGAUACCAGUUGGAAACGACUGAUAAUACCGCAUAAUGUCUACGGACCAAAGUGUGGGACCUUCGGGCCACAUGCUAGCUGAUGCGCCUACGUGGGAUUAGCUAGUUGGUGAGGUAAUGGCUCACCAAGGCGACGAUCCCUAGCUGGUUCGAGAGGAUGAUCAGCCACACUGGAACUGAGACACGGUCCAGACUCCUACGGGAGGCAGCAGUGGGGAAUAUUGGACAAUGGGCGCAAGCCUGAUCCAGCCAUGCCGCGUGUGUGAAGAAGGCCUUCGGGUUGUAAAGCACUUUCAGUAGGGAGGAAGCGUUGUGUGUUAAUAGUACACAGCGUUGACGUUACCUACAGAAGAAGCACCGGCUAACUCUGUGCCAGCAGCCGCAGUAACAC